UGGUGUGUUUCUGUACGUGUCGUGAAAACUGACUGGCUAACUGCCGGGUAACGGAUACCGAAAGGGUUGCCGAACAACGCACAACUCUGAGUACUUAGAGAAAGAAGUUCAACUUUGAUAAACCUGGAAAAUACACAAGAAUUCAACAAGGAUAUGUUACCCCAUUUGCUUCGACGCUCUUGAAGAAGGGACUUCGUAAAAGGUGGCCUUCAAGCUGCUUAUGAUUGCAAUUACAAUUUGAUGUCCCCCGAAACAAGAGAAACUUGCCAUCAUUCUUAUUUGCAUGAACAUUUUGUCUCUUGCAAAAACUUUGUGCCAGGUUCAUUGCUUCAAAACAGUUGGAAAUAUUCAGUAUGUUAUAACAUGUAAACUUGAAAUAGUAUAUACCUACAUGUACAUCUGUCUAUCUAUUUGUGUUAAUAUAUAUAUAUAUAUAUAUAGAUAGAUAAAAAUGUAUAUCUUUCUGUGUGCAAAUAUUUACCUGUUUAUAAAAUUAACCUUUAAAAUGUUGGGCAAAUAUCACACAUGCCCCUGAACUUUCUCGAAAUAUCAAGAAUACCCAAGUUUUGAUAAUUGCAAAAAUGCCCCUCGAAGUGAUAACCUAUCUACUUCCUGUUUUUUUUAGAGUGAACUGGGGCCUGUCUGGGCCCCGCGCGAACAGGACGCCCCCUCCCCCGCUGCCCCUCCUUCGCUGCAGUCGCAGAGUUCUCCCAAACCACGUUCAACUACAUUUGAAACAAAUCCAAACACCAG
rnacentral:lncRNA from 1 species